rnacentral:lncRNA from 1 species
CCAGAACAGGAUGUGCUUGAGGGAUACUCACUUGUUGGGAAGCGCAGAUCUUCAGGAGCUACCUGAGGUUUCCCACUAGAGCCUCAGAUCUUGCACUGGCAGCACACGGGGACACAGAAGCUGGAUUGGGAGCAGCAGGGUUUGCAGCAGCUGGACUGGCAGCAGGAUGACCCACAGCCUGAGGAGCAGCAGGGUUUACAGCAGCUGGACUGGCAGCAGGGUGACCCACAGCCUGAGGAGCAGCAGGGCUUGCAGCAGCUGGACUGGCAGCAGCAGGGCUUACAGCAACUGCACUGGGAACAUCCACAAGAACCACAGCCUCCCUUAGAGCCACCACUAGAGCCACAGCCACAGCCUCCCUUGGAGCCCCCACAAGAGCCACAGCCCCCCUUGGAGCCCCCACAGGAGCCACAGCUGGAGCAGGAACAGGCUGGUACACAGCAGCACACAGGCUUGCAGCAGCAGACGGGCACACAGCAGCUAGAGCCACAGCCCCCACAACUGGAGCUGCAGCCCCCACAGCCAGAGCCACAGCCCCCACAGCCGGAGCCACAGCCCCCACAGCCGGAACCACAGCACCCACAACGGGAGCCACAGCCUCCAGAGCAGCCACAGCAGCCCAUGAUUCUGGUGGAUUGAGGGUGGAGCAGGUAGAGGAACAGGUUGUGGGUCAUCCUGCUGCCAGUCCAGCUGCUGACUCCCCGAAGGGAAGAAGAAGCCAGCACAGUCAGGGGCUGACAGGCAGACCGGAGCCUGGGGGAGCUGGGCUCUCCAGAAUGGCAGGAGGGACAGAGACACUGUCCAGCAGCCUCCUGCCCCCAGACCUGAUGGAGAACAAGACCUUGGCCGUGCUGAAUUUCACUCCUGUACUAGAAGAGCCCAGAGUGUAUGCAUGGAUAGAAACACAGACAAAUAAACCAUUUAAAACACCGGUAAGGCGAAUCCUUCUGGAACAGCGAUAGAAGGCUGUGGUCUGAGGGCAGAGGCAGGAACAGAGGAGGCUCCACUCAAUCCUGGGGGGUGUGGGAGGGCAGGACUUGGGCCCAGAGGCUGUAGAGAGGAAAACAAUGCAGGAGGGGGAAGUGUGUCAUGAGGCAACACAGUAUUUUUAUUCUAAAUGACACACAAGUUCCCUAAGGAGAGAAUAUCAGUAAGAACCAGGAAGGGACCAUGUGCACCCCAUGACCCCUAGACAGAUAUAUAAAGAGCCCAGGCCCAGGGGACUCCACACCUGCACUUCUCUCUCACCUCCUCAUCUACCUGCUCC